CUUCCGUUGACUUUCGGAGACAUCGUUUAGCCAUCGUCCAGCUUCGUUUCUGUAGCUGGCGCUUCAUCAGAAUUUUCUGACUGUUGAAAAAUGUAAACGAAUCCUAGCGACAACCUCAGUUUGUCUGUAUUCCGUUUUGCUUUCUGUCUAGAAGGUUCCUCAUCAUUGCGUACUUCCCGUACUGUCAACACUCUGAUUGCCAUCCAGCCGUCCCCUCCCCCCUCAUUCCGAUGUGCAUGUGCGCGCACACGUCAAGACAACACAGCUGCAGCGAGUUUGGACAGCACAGACCCGCUGCAGAUAUGGUCACACGCUGGCGCUUCGUUUUGAUUUUGUUGAUAAGCAUCAUGGUCGCUGUUCUGUUUCGUUUUUCUUUUGUUAGUUUCGGUCUUUUAUGCGCUCUGCACUCGCAGGCUUUUCGUGAUGGGAGAAGUCCAGGCUCAUUUGUCCACUUUUUCUUGACCAUUUGUGACUUUGGGACUUUAUUUCUUUGUUCUGCUAACACCGUGUGACGGGGCCCUAACAUAAAUAUUAAAUAGAGUAUUUCCUUUGCAUAAGUUUCAUAUAUAUCACACAGGUGAUGUUCUUCCUGCUCGGCACCUCUGCCUGCCUGUACUCGCUAGCUCAGCUGCAGCAUCAUCAGCUGCAGCCACCGUUCACGGUUUCUUUUUCUACCCUACCCAAGGGGCGAGUGGCUGGAUGGAAACAUCUCCUCACCACCCCCUUAUUGCAGUGUUGGACCCCAGAACAUAUCCCUUCUCCGUAGCUACACCCAGUAGAUGGCUUUCUCUUCCUCGUGUGCCAGUUCGCUGCUGGCCUUCUGCAGGCUCGCUCCAGGUGGAACGCUUCCAUACCAAGAGUGGCAACAACUAGCAGUUUGAAACCAUGUUGUUCUGUUGUGCUAAUAGCCUGAUUCAACUGGGCCAUCUCGGUGUUGCACCUUUAGCCCACACCCACCCUGCACAGAGCACAAAAAGUGCUACAUCCAGAUGGGGUGACCAGUCUGAUGGAAUCGGGCCCCAGGUGUAGCACCAGCUUGCAUCAUUGCGUGAUCUAAAUACCAACAUGGUUGACGGCGCAGCACCAGUCGAAUGAAAAAAGUGUGGCAGCUCGGCUCAGUGUAGCACCAAAACGCCAGUCAAACAAGGCUAAUUAAACACUGCAGUUACUGUGUUUAUACAUAGCAGCUCCAUAGUCAGUACCUAUCUUAUCACUCAAUAGGGUUAAUUAAAAUCUAGUAAAGACAUUUGAGAACUUAAUUACACAAUUUGAGUUCUAAGGAGGAAAAAAAAUGUACAUUUUCUAGUUUCUUAAACUUUUUUAGGCGUGUGAAUAAGAAUGAUGCAUAUCCUUGCAUCAUCUGCUCUAAUGUGAUAUUUGAACAUUAAAACCUGGAUGAAAAAUAACUUGAAUCAAACAUUUUUACAACCACGCUUCAGAGGUUUCUGACUGCUUAAUUGUGUUUAAGGCUUAACAAGCGUUUUAAUGUAAAACGUAACUCAAACACACACACAAAGCAUAGUUAAUUAUAUACAUAAUUCUAUAAGUUACUAAAGAAAGUUAUAUAAGAAAAUUAACAGGUGUUUGACUUGUGUGCAACAGAAGUUAAAAAAUUUAAAAAAAAAUGAAGGAUCUCUUUAAUCCUCACGUCUGCUGACACACUGAAAUCAAUAUUGAUUUCCAGAAUAUUGAUAUUUGGUGUUUUUUGUUGGUGCUAUUAAAUAUGUAUAUUUUGUUUUUCCCCUGGUAGUGAUGAAAUUAAACAUGUUUAUUCUAUGCUCCAUAAUUAGUUGAUGUAAAUUAUAAAAGCCUAAAGGGUUGGACCACCACUUUACGUUUAAGCGUGAACGUGAACCUGUCUGACGGAGACAUGAGCUAAAUUUUGCUUUAUUUUAAUGUAUUCUUCUACUUUCUGUAUCUGCAGGAGAUCUGUACAUUUUACCUCCGUUUUCAGGUUGAUUUUGGCAUCCAUGUGGACAGCAUCUUGUCAUUUUGAAACUUUUUGGAGAGUUAAACUGUGCAUCCACCACCCGGCUGUGGUGAGAUGUGUGCGAUCACUCUGCCGUUGGAAACAAUAUGGAGCCUGUCAUUCAAAACCCUGGGACACUAAAUGUUGCCACUCUGAGUAUGUAUAUUGCCGAUUUUCCCACAAAGCCUCUGUAUACUGCAGUACUUCCACUGGGUGAAUGGUUGUGGUCCAGCCCACCUCAUCACACUCCUAUUAAUAUGUGCAAAAGGUUGGAAUUUUUCCAGUCCUGUUGAGAUUUUUUUUUUCUCCCAAUCUGGUGUCAGAGUUUAAUUCAUGCAUUUUAAAGCAAACUAAAUAUAAUGAAUAGAAAUACUCAUCUGGAUUAUUUCAAGUGUUUACAAACAGAAUAUAUUGUAUAUAUUAAAGCGCUAAUCUCACCUCUUAGAUUUUUUAAUCGUAUUUUUGUACUGAAAGUAGCUGUAGUCAUUGCAUCUGUCACAUAUUACACCAUGUUGCUCAGUGAUGGAAAAGGAAGCAGCGUGCUUUGAUUAAAAAAGUUUUCAGUGCAUUUUGUUUAUCUGAUUCUCAGAUCAUAACAGUUAUCACUGCAUCAGUGAGAAAGCAGGAAUCUGGGAAAUAGUCCCACACUACAAUCAAGAAAAGAAUAUUUCAAAUGUACUCUGGGUUUGAACAAUUCAUAGCUUCAGAAGUAAAGUCAGACAUUUUCGCAUCACAACUGUUUGACAGUCAAUAGACUAGACUUUGUCAAAAAGCACCAUUUAAAGUUUCCUGCAGCAUUCGUGAAUCUCUUUUACGUUGCCUGACUGUUGUGCAGAAACACAAGUUUUGCUUCAAACUUGUCUUUAGCACAUUUUGUAUUGGCUAAAUUCUAAUAAUUUAAAAAAUUGCUUUCAUACUAAUGAGACAAACUAUCACAUUUUAUGACACGUUCUGUCACAAACCACUUCUAAGGAGUUGCAAAAUUACCAAUUGGUGUGUGGGAAGAUUUCAUUCUGUUGUAAUCAUGUUUAUCGGGGCUGUGCUGUAAUGGUGAGGUUUGUGUGGGAGUUUGGAUGCAUUUGUGCAUAUACUGAAAAAUGAACUGUAGAAUGGUUACAUAUCUUUAAGUGGAUUAACAGCCGCAGUGAUUAAGAGAGAAGGUACAGGAGGGUUGCUGUAAAGUUAAUGGAAAAUAAGUUUUUAUCUGUAAACUUGGUAAAACAUCUGGGAUUUUUUUUAAGUGAUGUUUGUGAUGAAGCAAAUGUUAGUUUUAAUUAAAUGACAAUACUUCAGUGUUUUGUCUAAGAUUCA